GACGAACGCUGGCGGCGUGCUUAACACAUGCAAGUCGAGCGGAAAGGCCCUUUCGGGGGUACUCGAGCGGCGAACGGGUGAGUAACACGUGAGUAAUCUGCCCUUGGCUUUGGGAUAACCACCGGAAACAGUGGCUAAUACCGGAUAUGACGCGCUCCGGCAUCGGGGUGUGUGGAAAGUUUUUUCGGCCAGGGAUGUGCUCGCGGCCUAUCAGCUUGUUGGUGGGGUAAUGGCCUACCAAGGCUUCGACGGGUAGCCGGCCUGAGAGGGUGACCGGCCACACUGGGACUGAGACCCGGCCCAGACUCCUACGGGUGGCAGCAGUGGGGAAUAGUGGACAAUGGGCGGAAGCCUGAUCCAGCAACGCCGCGUGAGGGAUGACGGCCUUCGGGUUGUAAACCUCUUUCAGUACCGACGAAGCGCCGAUGAUGGUGGUGACGGUAGGUACAGAAGAAGCACCGGCCAACUACGUGCCAGCCGCCGCCGUAA
rnacentral:rRNA from 1 species